rnacentral:rRNA from 1 species
AACGCUAGCUACAGGCUUAACACAUGCAAGUCGAGGGGAAACGACAUCGAAAGCUUGCUUUUGAUGGGCGUCGACCGGCGCACGGGUGAGUAACGCGUAUCCAACCUGCCCACCACUUGGGGAUAACCUUGCGAAAGUAAGACUAAUACCCAAUGACGUCUCUAGAAGACAUCUGAAAGGGAUUAAAGAUUUAUCGGUGAUGGAUGGGGAUGCGUCCGAUUAGCUUGUUGGCGGGGUAACGGCCCACCAAGGCGACGAUCAGUAGGGGUUCUGAGAGGAAGGUCCCCCACAUUGGAACUGAGACACGGUCCAAACUCCUACGGGAGGCAGCAGUGAGGAAUAUUGGUCAAUGGACGAGAGUCUGAACCAGCCAAGUAGCGUGCAGGAAGACGGCCCUAUGGGUUGUAAACUGCUUUUAUAAGGGAAUAAAGUGGUCCACGUGUGGAUUUUUGUAUGUACCAUAUGAAUAAGGAUCGGCUAACUCCGUGCCAGCAGCCGCGGUAAUACGGAGGAUCCGAGCGUUAUCCGGAUUUAUUGGGUUUAAAGGGAGCGUAGGCGGAUUGUUAAGUCAGUUGUGAAAGUUUGCGGCUCAACCGUAAAAUUGCAGUUGAUACUGGCAGUCUUGAGUGCAGUAGAGGUGGGCGGAAUUCGUGGUGUAGCGGUGAAAUGCUUAGAUAUCACGAAGAACUCCGAUUG